UAGCAGAUAAUCACUGUGUGAGUGAAAAGAGGACAUAGAACAAAGAUGCAAAAUGCAAGGCUACAAGAAAGAAGCCAACACCUACAUUGACAGACACCUGACAGUUGUUUCCUGAACAGGGAUCUGGAUGAAUUUUCCCAAGACAUGCAAAAAGUGCAUUUCCAGAGUGUAUCUAAGAAAGAGCAAAUUUUGAUUCUACAAUAAUCCUGAGAAUUCUGUAAAUUCACAUUCAGUAAAACAGCACCAGAAAGAUAAAUUGGAUAAAUGGGUGUUGUAUCCCAUGGGAUUUCCUAACCAAAAAUUAACAAAACCCCUCUGUUUUCCUGGAAUUGCUGUCCCUGGAAGAGCCUCCAAGGUGAGAUCCUUGGGAAGUUCACCCAGAGGAGGGGCUCAGAGCACCCAAAUCCAUGGAGGGAGCAGCCAGGAGCCGCUCCUGGGAUUCCC